rnacentral:lncRNA from 1 species
AAUCAUUCUAGCAUCAAAAAUCCAUUGCUUUUAUUAUUUUACUCGCGAUCAAGCUUAAAUGGCUCACGCGUGCCAUGUUUUGUAAUGUUGUUGAAAGUGUGGUUUUCAGAGGUAUUGAGUGAGAUUCCAAACUUGUUUUGACUUAGUUUAUCCUCUUAAUGACCUCAGGAACCUAAAUUUUCAAAAACAGGUACGUAUUACCCAUUGUUUCAAGUUUCGCUCGAUUUGAGUCGAAACCUCUUUAUAACACAUAAUUUUUGGAAAAUUUCACUUUUUUUGACAAGUGGUUUUUUGAAUUCCUCUGUGCUUAUAGACGCCUUCUAACAUAUUGUGAACUAUUGUAGCAUCAAAAAUAAUAAUACUUUUAUAAUUUUACUCGCGAUCGAGCUUAAAUGACUCAUGUGUGCCGUAUUUUAUAAAGCUGCUAAAAGUGUGGUUUUCAGAGAUAUUGAGUGAGCUUCCAAACUUGUUUUGUCUUAGUUUAUUCUCUUAAUGACCAUGGGAACCCAAAUUUUCAAAAACAGUUACGUAUUACCCAUUCUUUCAAGUUUCGAUUUGAGUCGAAACCUCUUUAUAACACAUGUUUUUAGAAAAUUUCACUUUUUUUUAACAUGUGGUUUUUUGAAUUCCUUUAUGUUUCUAGACGCCUCCUAACAUAUUGUGCAUCAUUCUAGUAUCGAAACUCCGUUACUUUUAUUAUUUUACUCGCGAUCGAGUUUAAAUGACUCACGCGUGCUGUGUUUUGUAAAUCUGCUGAAAGUGCGGUUUUCAAAGGGAAUGAGUGAGCUUCGAAGCUUGUAUUAUCUUAGUUUAUCCUCUUAAUGACCUCAGGAACCUAAAUUUUCCAAAACAGUUACGUAUUAUCCAUUCUCUCAAGUUUCGCUCGAUUUGAGCCGAAACCCCUUACUGUAGCACACAGGUUUUUAGAAAAUUUCAUUUUUUUUGACAUAUGGUUUUUUGAAUUCCUCUGUGCUUCUAGAUGCCUCCUAAGAUAUUGUGAACCAUUCUAGCAUUAAAAAUCCUUUGCUUUUAUUAUUUUACUCGCGAUCGAGCUUAAAUGACUCAUGCGUGCCGUGUUUUGUAAAGCUGCUGAAAGUGUGGUUUUCAUAGGUAUUAAGUGAGCUUCCAGGCUUGUUUUGUCUUAGUUUAUCCUCUUAAUGAAUGCAAGACCCUAGGCGGCUUCUUGGUGGCCCUAAGCAAGUCUAAGAGAGUCAAGGCGGCCUUAGGCGGGUCUAGGAGGGUUAAGGCGGUUCCAGGAGGGUUAAGGCGGCACAAGGAAGGCCAAGCCGGUCAAAGGCGGGUCAAGGCGGCCCCAAGGCGUUACAAAACGGGUCAAGGCGGGCCAAGGCGGUUCUAGAUGGGUCAAGGCUCCCGGCCGCCCCUUGGCCGCCUUAUGUGGGCCUAGAAGAGCCGUGGAGUGUCAAGGCGGACCAAGACGGGUCAAGGCAGCCCUAGAUGGGCCUAAGAGGGUCAUGGCGUCCCCUGGCGAGUCAUGGCGGGUCAAGGCGGCCCAAGGCAGGAUCAAGGCUGGCCAAGGCAGCCCAUUGGUGGCCCUAGAGGGUCUUGGCAGCCCCUUGGAGGGUCAAAGCUUCCCUAGGCGGGUCUAGGAGGGUCAUGGCGGCCCAAGGCGGUUAAGGCGGCUCAAGGUAGCCCAUUGGCGAGUCUAGGCUGGCCAAAGCGGGUUAAGGCGGGUCAUGGCGUGCCAAGGCAGUCCUACGCGGGCCAAGUUAGCCCUAUGGCGGCCGUAGAAGGGUCAAGGCAGGUCAAGGCGACCCCUUGGCGAGUCAUGGCGCCCAAGGCGGGUCAAGGCGUGUAAAGGCAGCCCCUUGGUGGCUUUACGUGGGUCAUGGCUCCCCCUUGGCUGCCCUAGUUAGGCCUAGAAGCGCUGAGGAGGGUCAAGGUGGGCCAAGACGGUUCGAGCAGGCCUAUGGCGGGCCAAGGCGGGUUAAGGUGGCCCUAGGCGGGCCUAGGAGUGUUAAGGUGUGUAAAGGCAGCCCCUUGACGGGUCAUGGCGGCUUCUUGGUGGCCCUUGGCAAGUCUAGGAGUGUCAAGGCGGCCUAAGGCGUGUCUAGGAGGGUCAACGCGGCCCAAGGCGGGUCAAGACUGCACAAGGAAGGCCAUGACGGGUCCAAGGUGGGCCAAGGAGGUCAAAACCGGGUCAAGGCGGGUCAAGGCCCCUUGACGGGUCUAGGAGGGUCAAGGUGGUCCAAGACGGUUCAAGGCGGCCUAUGGCGGGCUAAGGCGUGUACAAGGCAAGUCAAGGGAGUCAAAGGCUGGUCAAAGCGGCCCUUAACAGGUCUAGGAGGGUCAAGGCGACCUAAAGUGUUGCAAGGCGGGCCAAAGGGGGUCAAGGCGGGUCAAGGCGUCCCCUUAGUUGUUGCCCUAGGUGGGCCUGGAAGAGCCGAGGAGGGUCAAGGGGGGUCUUGGCGGCCCUAGACGGGCCUAGGAGGGUCAUGGCGACCGUUUAGCGAGUCAUGGCAGCUUCUUGGUGGCCCUAGGUGGGUCUAGGAGGGGUAAGGCGGUCCAAGACAGGUUAAGGCAGUCCAAGGCGGGUUAAGGUGCGCCAAAGCGGGCCAAGGCGGGUCAAGAUGGCCCCUUGGCGGACGUAUGCAACCCCUUAGCGGCCCUUGGCGGGUCAUGGCGGUCCCUAGGGAGGUUAAAACUGACCUAGGUGUGUAAAAACAGCCCCUUGGUCGGUCAAGAUGUCCCCUUGGCGACCCGAAGCGCGUCAAGGCGGCCUCCUUAACGGCCCCCUUGGCAGCUGAAAGCGGGUCAAGGCGUGUAAAGGCAGCCCCUUGGCCGCUUUAGGUGGGUUAUGGCUCCCCUUGGCUGCCCUAGUUGGGCCUAGAAGCGCCGACAAGGGUCAAGGCGGGCCAAGACGGUUCAAGGCGGCCUAUCGCGGGCCAAAGCUUGUCGAAGGCGAUUAAAGGCUGGUCAAGGCGGGUCAAGACGACCCCAUGGCGGCCCUAGGCAGCCCUUUAGCGGGUCAAGGCGGCCCAAGGUGGUUCUAGGAGGGUCAAGACGGCCCAAGCGGUUCAAAGAGGGUCAAGGUAGGCCAAGGCGGCACAAGGAAGGCCAAGGUGGGUAAUGGCGGGUCAAGGUGGUCAAAAGCGGGUCAUGGUGGGUCAAGGUAUCCCUUUGGUGGGUCUAGGAGGGUCAAGGCAGCCCAAGGCGGGUUAAGGCGCCCCCUUAACGGGUUAAGACGGGUCAUGGCGGGUCAAGGCAUCCCCUUGGCGGGUCUAGGAGGGUUAAGGCGGGUUAAGGCGCCCUUAGCGGGUCUAAGAAGGUCAAGGCAGCCCAAGGCAGUUCAAGGCAGGUUAAGGUGUCCCAAGGUGGGUCAACGCGUACUAAGGCGGCCCCCAUAAGGCCUAGGAAGGUCGUGGCGAUCCUUUGGCAAGUCAUGGCGGCGUCUUGGUGGCCCUAGGUGGGUCUAGGAGGGUCAAGGUGGUCCAAGGUGGGUGAACGCAGGCCAAGGUGGUCCAAGACAGUUCAAGACGAGUCAAGGUGGGCUAGGCAGGCCAGGUGGGCCAAAGCGGGUCAAGGCAGGCCCACCUAGGGCCACCAAGGCGGUCAAAAGCGGGUCAAUACGGGUCAAGGCAUCCCCAUGGCGGCCCUAGGUAGCCCCUUGGCGGGUCUAGGAGGGUUAAGGCGGCCCUUAGUGGCUCUAGGGUGGUCAAGGCGGGCCAAGGCGGCCCAAGACGGGUGUAUGCGUACCAAGGGUUGGACCAAAGCUUGACCGCUUGACCCUCUUAUACCCACCUAGGGCCACCAAGAAGCCGCCAUGACUCGCCAAGAGGUCGCCUUGACCCUCCUAGGCCCAUCUAGGGCCGCCAAGGGCCCGUCUUAACCCUCCUCGGCUCUUCUAGGCCCACCUAGGGUACCAAGGUGGGUUAGGGUGGCCCAAGGUGGUUCAAAGCGGGUAAAGGCGCCCCCUUAGCCACCCUAGGUGGGUCUAGAAAAGCCGAGGAGGGUUAAGGCGGGCCCUUGGCGGCCCUAGAUAGGCCUAGGAGGGUCAAGGCGACCUCUUGGCGAGUCAUGACGGCUUCUUGGUGGCCCUAGGUGGGUAUAAGAGGGUCAAGCGGUCCAAGGCGGGUCAAGGCGGGUUACGGCAGGUCAAGGCGGAUCAAGGCGGCCCAAUGGUGGCCCUAGAUAGUCUUGGCAGCCCCUUGGCGGGUCAAGACGGGUUUAGGAGGGUCAAGGCGGGUCAAGGCAGCCCCAUGGCGGCCUUUGGCAGCCCAUUGGCGGGUCUAGGAGGGUCAAGGAGGGUCAAGGCGGGUAUAGGAGGGUCAAGGCGCCCCUAGACGGGCCAUGGCGGGUCAAAGCGGCCCAAGACAGGCCAAGGCGGGUCAAGGUGACCCCUUGGCGGAAGUAUGCAGCCCUUUGGGGUCCCUUGGCGGGUCAUGGCGGUCCGUAGGGCCAAUAAGACAGUCAAAAGCGGGUUAAGAUGGGUCAAGACAUCCCUAUGGCCGCCCUAGUCAGCCCCUUGGCGGGUCUAGGAGGGUCAAGGCGGCCCUUAGCGGCUCUAGGAGGGCCAAGGCGGCCCAAGGUAGUUCAAGGUAGGUUAAGGCAGCCUAAAGCGGUCCAAGGCGGGUUAAGGCGUCCUAAGGUGGGUCAAGGCGUACCAAAGCGGGUCAAAGCAGCCCCUUAGCGGCCCUAAGCGGGCCUAGGAGGGUCGUGGCGAUCCAUUGGCAAGUCAUGGCGGUGUCUUGGUGGCCCUAGGUGUGUCUAGGAGGGUUAAGGUGGUCUAAGGCGGUUCAAGAUAGCCUAUCGCGGGCCAAAGCGUGUCAAAGGCGGGUCAAGGCAGCCCAAAAUGGGUCAAGGCAGAUCAAGGCGAGCCAAGGCAAGCCAAGGUGGAUUAAGGCGGGUCAAGGCGGUCCAACGCGGUCCAAGGCGGUCUAAGGCGGUCCACUGCGAUCCAAGGCGGUCCAAAGCGUGCCAAGGCGGGUCAAGGCGAGCCAAGGUGGAUUAAAGCGGGUCAAGGCGGCCGAAUGCGGUCCAAGGCGGUCUAAGGCGGUCCACUGCGAUCCAAGGCGGUCCAAAGCGUGCCAAAGCUGGUCAAGAUGGCCCCAUGGUGGCCCUAGGUAGCCCCUUGGCAAGUCUAGGAAGGUCAAGGUGGCCUUAGGCAGUUUCAGGGGGGUAAAGGCGGUUUAAGGUGGCCCAAGACAGGUUAAGGCGGCUAAGGCGGAUCAGGGCUGGUCAAGGCGUUCAAAGGCAGCCCCAUGGAGGCCCUGGGCAGAUUUUGGCGAGUCUUAGAGGGUCAAGGCGGUCAAGACAGCCCAAGGCGACCCAAGGCGGGUCAAAGUGGCCUAAGGCGGGCCAAGGCCUUCCGACGAGGGCCAAGGCGGGUUAAGGCGCCCAUUUGCCAGCCCCUUGGCUGCCUUAGGAGGGUCAUGGCGGCCCCUUGCCAGCCUUAGACUGAUUAAGGUGGGCCAACAUGGGUCAAGGCGGGCUUAGGCAGGUCAUGGGGGCCCCUUGGCUAAGUGAAGGCGGCCCUUUUGUUGUGGCCCUAGAUGGGUCAAGACGGCCUCUUGGCAGCCCUAGGAGGGUUAAGACGGGUUAAGGCGAGCCAAAAAAAGUGAAACUAGCUAGAAACUCGUGUGCUAUAGCAAGUGGUUUUCGGUCAAAUUGGGUGAAAUUUGAAAUGAGGGAAAAUACCUCAUUUUCUUUUGAAACUAAGAUUUCCAAUAUCAAUAUGAGAAGCAUCGAAGAGAACAUAAUUUUAAAAAGUCACUCAAUACCAAUUAAAACAACUAUUUCAACAGCUUUAUAAAACACGGCACACGUGAGUUUAUUUAGGCCCGAUCGCGAGUAAAUUGAGAAAAGCACGGAUUUUUGAAGCUAGAAUGGUUCACUAUAUUUUACGAGGUGUCUGUAAGCACACCCGAAAGGAAAAAGCUGGAGGCCCAAAAAAAAGUGAAACUUGUCAAAAACUCGUGUGCUAUAACAAGGGUUUUGGCUCGAAUUGGAUGAAACUUGAAAUGAGGGACGAUACCUCAUUUUCUUUUGAAACUAAGGUUUCUAAUGUCAAUAUGAGAAUAUUGAAAAGAACAUAAUCUUAAAAAGUCACUCAAUACUAAUUAAAAAAACAAUUUCAACAGCUUUACAAAACACGGCACGUGUGAGUUAUUUAGGCCCGAUCGCGAGUAAAUUUAUAAAAGACAUGGAUUUUUGAAGCUAGAAUGGUUCAAUAUAUGUUAUGAGGUGUCCAUAAGCACACUCGAACAGAAAAAGCCGGAGUCCUAAAAAAAUUGAAACUGGCUAGAAACUCGUGUGCUAUAACAAGUGGUUUUGGCUUGAAUUGGAUGAAAUUUGAAAUGAGGGGCAAUACCUCAUUUUCUUUUAAAAUUAAGGUUCCCAGUGUCAAUAUGAAAAGAAUUGAAGAGAACGGAAUCUUGGAAAGUCACUCAAUUUCAAUUAAAAACAGUAACAAAACACGACACGCGUGAGUUUAUUUAAGCCCGAUCGCGAGUAAAUUGAUAAAAGACACGGAUUUUUAAAGCUAGAAUGUUUCACUAUAUGUUACGAAGUGUUUGUAACCACACCCGAACGAAAAAGCCGGAGGCCUAAAAAAAUGAAACUUGUCAAAAACUCGUGUGCUAUAACAAAGGUUUUGGCUCGAAUUGGAUGAAACUUGAAAUGAGGGACAAUACCUCAUUUUCUUUUGAAAUUGAGGUUUCCAAUGUCAAUAUGAGAAGAAUUGAAAAGAACAUAAUUUUAAAAAGUCACUCAAUACAAUUAAAAUAGCAAUUUCAAUAGCUUUACAAAACACAGCACUCGUAAGUUAUUAAGCCCAAUCGCGAGUAAAUUUAUAAAAGACAUGGAUUUUGGAAGCUAGAAUGGUUCAAUAUAUGUUAUGAGGUGUCUAUAAGCACACUCGAAUAGAAAAAGCCAGAGUCCCAAAAAAAUUGAAACUGGCUAGAAACUCGUGUGCUAUAGCAAUGGAUUUUGGCUCGAAUUGGAUGAAAUUUGAAAUGAGGGACAAUACCUCAUUUUCUUUUGAAACUGAGGUUUCCAAUGUCAAUAUGAGAAGAAUUGAAAAAGCAUAAUUUAAAAAGUGACUCAAUACCAAUUAAAAUAGCAAUUUCAAUAGCUUUACAAAACACGGCACAUGUGAGUUUAUUUUGGACCGAUGACGAGUAAAUUGAUAAAGGCACGGAUUUUUGAAGCUAGAAUGUUUCACUAAGGUUGAUAAAGGCACGGAAAAUGCUGGAGACCAAAAAAAGGUGAAACUCACCAGAAACUCGUGAGCAAGCGAUUUUGGCUCGAAUUGGGUGAAACAUGAAAUGAGGGACGAUACCUCAUUUUCUUUUGAAACUAAGGUUUCUGAAAGGGGUUGACAAUAAGUUCUUUCAAAACUGACUAUUUGUCCUUUUGUUAGAAGUGUCCCAGAAAUGUCUGCGAUCGAGUAAAUAGAGGAUAUAAUCUUAAAAAGUCACUCUAUGCCCAUUAAAACAACAAUUUCAACAUCUUUACAAAACACGGCACGCGUGAGUUUAUUUAGGCCGGAUCGCGAGUAAAUUGAGAAAAGACAUGGAUUUUUGAAGCCAGAAUGGUUCACUAUAUAUUAGGAGGUGUCUAUAAGCACACCCGAACGGAAAAAGCCGGAGGCCCAAAAAAAUGAAACUUGCCAGAAACUAGUGUGCUAUAGCAGAGGGUAUUGGCUCAAAUUGGGUGAAACUUGAAAUGAGAGACAAUACCUCUUUUUCUUUUGAAACUAAGGUUUCCGAUGUCAAUAUGAGAAGAAUUGAAGAGAACAUAAUCUUAAAAAGUCACUCAAUACCAAUUAAAACAACAACUUCAACAGCUUUGCAAAACACGGCACGCGUGAGUUUAUUUAGGCCCGAUCACGAGUAAAUUGAUAAAAGACACAGAUUAAGACUAGCCUAGCAUGGUCGAGGAGGGUCAAGGCGGCCCAAGACGGAUUAAGGCGGCUUUUGACGGCCCUAGACGUGCCUAGGAGGGUCAUGGCGACCCUUUGAGGAGUCAUGUUGACCCCUUGGUGGCCCUAGGCGAGUCAUGGCAGGGCCGAGGAAGGUCAAGGAAGGUCAAGCAUUCUAGCAUAAAAAAUUCGUUGCUUUUAUUAUUCUACUCGCGAUCGGGCCUAAAUAACUCACGCGUGCCGUGUUUUGUAAGGCUGCUGAAAGUGUGGUUUUAAAAGGUAUUGAGUGAGUUUCCAAACUUGUUUUGUCUUAGUUUAUCCUCUUAAUGACCUCGGGAACCAAAAUUUAAAAAACAGUUAUGUAUUACAUAUUCUUUUAAGUUUCGCCCGAUUUGAGUCGAGACCCCUUGCUAUAUAGCACAUAGGUUUUUGUCACUUUUUUUCGACAAGUGGUUUUAUGUAUUCCUCUGUGCUUCUA